GGAAGCUAGCAAGUUUCAGUCGGUAGCGCGAGGCUGCAGUUGUGACUGCUGUAAAAUAACUCGUUACCAUGGUUACACGCGCCUGCUAAAUUGUCGUAAAUGUGGGGGAUUUUUUAAGCCAAAGAAAUGUCAGGCAAAUUGAGGACGAACUUGUGUCUGACUGUCGUAAAUGGUCUGGUGGACAUCUUCAGUUCAUGCAGCCACGUGCCUGCCACUACUGUCCGACAGUUCUUUGCAUCCGUGUUUCAUUGGAAUCCAUGAGUUUAACGUGGGUCAGAUGUCAGGAGGCAGAGUUCAGGAGUCUGACAGCUG